CGCACUCUCGUUUAGAUUGAAGGAGCUUGCUCCUGAUUGAUAAACAUUUGAGUGAGUGGCGGACGGGUGAGUAACACGUGGGUAACCUGCCCUAAAGUGGGGGAUAACAUUUGGAAACAGAUGCUAAUACCGCAUAAAACCUAACACCGCAUGGUGUAGGGUUGAAAGAUGGUUUCGGCUAUCACUUUAGGAUGGACCCGCGGUGCAUUAGUUAGUUGGUGAGGUAAAGGCUCACCAAGACCGUGAUGCAUAGCCGACCUGAGAGGGUAAUCGGCCACACUGGGACUGAGACACGGCCCAGACUCCUACGGGAGGCAGCAGUAGGGAAUCUUCCACAAUGGACGAAAGUCUGAUGGAGCAACGCCGCGUGAGUGAAGAAGGUUUUCGGAUCGUAAAACUCUGUUGUUGGAGAAGAAUGUAUCUGAUAGUAACUGAUCAGGUAGUGACGGUAUCCAACCAGAAAGCCACGGCUAACUACGUGCCAGCAGCCGCGGUAAUACGUAGGUGGCAAGCGUUGUCCGGAUUUAUUGGGCGUAAAGCGAGCGCAGGCGGUUUCUUAAGUCUGAUGUGAAAGCCUUCGGCUCAACCGAAGAAGUGCAUCGGAAACUGGGAAACUUGAGUGCAGAAGAGGACAGUGGAACUCCAUGUGUAGCGGUGAAAUGCGUAGAUAUAUGGAAGAACACCAGUGGCGAA
rnacentral:rRNA from 1 species